rnacentral:tRNA from 1 species
GGGUCGGUGACGCAACUGGAUAACGUAGCGGACUAAAAUGGAAACGAAUCCGUUAGGUGCAGGCUUCGCCGUGAGCGCUCAGCCGAAAGGUUCGAGUCCUGUCCGACCCA